GACGAACGCUGGCGGCGUGCCUAAUACAUGCAAGUUGAGCGCUGAAGGUUGGUACUUGUACCAACUGGAUGAGCAGCGAACGGGUGAGUAACGCGUGGGGAAUCUGCCUUUGAGCGGGGGACAACAUUUGGAAACGAAUGCUAAUACCGCAUAAAAACUUUAAACACAAGUUUUAAGUUUGAAAGAUGCAAUUGCAUCACUCAAAGAUGAUCCCGCGUUGUAUUAGCUAGUUGGUGAGGUAAAGGCUCACCAAGGCGAUGAUACAUAGCCGACCUGAGAGGGUGAUCGGCCACAUUGGGACUGAGACACGGCCCAAACUCCUACGGGAGGCAGCAGUAGGGAAUCUUCGGCAAUGGACGAAAGUCUGACCGAGUAACGCCGCGGGAGUGAAGAAGGGUGUCGGAUCGUAAAACUCUGUUGGUAGAGAAGAACGUUGGUGAGAGUGGAAAGCUCAUCAAGUGACGGUAACUACCCAGAAAGGGACGGCUAACUACGUG
rnacentral:rRNA from 1 species